rnacentral:rRNA from 1 species
UACAGAGGAUGCAAGCGUUAUCCGGAAUGAUUGGGCGUAAAGCGUCUGUAGGUGGCUUUUUAAGUCCGCCGUCAAAUCCCAGGGCUCAACUCUGGACAGGCGGUGGAAACUACCAAGCUGGAGUACGGUAGGGGCAGAGGGAAUUUCCGGUGGAGCGGUGAAAUGCGUAGAGAUCGGAAAGAACACCAACGGCGAAAGCGGCUCACUGGACCAUAACUGACGCUGAUGCACGAAAGCUGGGGGAGCAAACAGG